rnacentral:rRNA from 1 species
UAGGGAAUCUUCGGCAAUGGACGGAAGUCUGACCGAGCAACGCCGCGUGAGUGAAGAAGGUUUUCGGAUCGUAAAGCUCUGUUGUAAGAGAAGAACGAGUGUGAGAGUGGAAAGUUCACACUGUGACGGUAUCUUACCAGAAAGGGACGGCUAACUACGUGCCAGCAGCCGCGGUAAUACGUAGGUCCCGAGCGUUGUCCGGAUUUAUUGGGCGUAAAGCGAGCGCAGGCGGUUAGAUAAGUCUGAAGUUAAAGGCUGUGGCUUAACCAUAGUACGCUUUGGAAACUGUUUAACUUGAGUGCAAGAGGGGAGAGUGGAAUUCCAUGUGUAGCGGUGAAAUGCGUAGAUAUAUGGAGGAACACCGGUGGCGAAAGCGGCUCUCUGGCUUGUAACUGACGCUGAGGCUCGAAAGCGUGGGGAGCAAACAGGAUUAGAUACCCUGGUAGUCCACGCCGUAAACGAUGAGUGCUAGGUGUUAGACCCUUUCCGGGGUUUAGUGCCGCAGCUAACGCAUUAAGCACUCCGCCUGGGGAGUACGACCGCAAGGUUGAAACUUAAAGG